AUCUUUUUAUAGUUCAUAUGACUGGGUUUUAUCCUUUUGUGUGUGAUGUGCCUCCCUCAAACUUUGUCAUGAUGUUGGCACAUUACUCAUCUGAUU
ensembl:snoRNA